rnacentral:lncRNA from 1 species
GAGGAUCCAGCCAGCAUGGGUCAUACCUAAGGCGAUGUGGAGAAUCAGGGCCAAGCCUGUCUACCAUGGCCCCUCAGUCGCCACAGCAGUUUCAGUCGGAGGCAAAUGUGGUAGCAGGCACAUCAUCAGCUCAGUCCUUUCGGCAGUCCUACCUGAGACACUGUGGGGAUUCAGAUGCCAGUCUGUCUGACAUGAUGUCAGCCCAGUCAUUGCCACAGCAGUUUCAGUCGGAUGCAAAUGUGGCGGCAGGCGCAUCAUCAGCUCAGUCCUUGCGGCAGUCCUACCUGAGACGCUGUGGCGAUUCAGAUGCCAGUUUGUCUGACAUGACAUCAGCCCAGUCAUUGCCAGGGUGCUGAGGAGUGAGGAAGGUGUUCGGAUGUGUACUACAACAUGCGGCAUGAUCUGUGCAUACAAUGAGGCCUGUAACAUUACCUAG